CAGCCCUAAACGAUGCGCGUUAGGUGUAUCGGUGACCACGAGUCACCGAGGUGCCGAAGGGAAACCGUGAAACGUGCCGCCUGGGAAGUACGGUCGCAAGGCUGAAACUUAAAGGAAUUGGCGGGGGAGCACCACAACGGGUGGGGCCUGCGGUUUAAUUGGACUCAACGCCGGGAAGCUCACCGGAUAAGACAGCGGAAUGAUUGCCGGGCUGAAGACUUUGCCGGAUUAGCUGAGAGGAGGUGCAUGGCGUAGUCGUGU
rnacentral:rRNA from 1 species